rnacentral:rRNA from 1 species
AGCAGUCGCCGCGGGAAUACGGGGGGGGCAAGUGUUAUUCGGAAUGACUGGGCGUAAAGCGUGCGUAGGCGGCUUCUUAAGUCGGAUGUGAAAUCCCUGAGCUUAACUUAGGAAUUGCAUUCGAUACUGGGAAGCUAGAGUAUGGGAGAGGAUGGUAGAAUUCCAGGUGUAGCGGUGAAAUGCGUAGAGAUCUGGAGGAAUACCGAUGGCGAAGGCAGCCAUCUGGCCUAAUACUGACGCUGAGGUACGAAAGCAUGGGGAGCAAACAGGAUUAGAUACCCGAGUAGUCCCUGUCUCUUAUAC